rnacentral:rRNA from 1 species
UAAACGAUGUCGACUUGGAGGUUGUGCCCUUGAGGCGUGGCUUCCGGAGCUAACGCGUUAAGUCGACCGCCUGGGGAGUACGGCCGCAAGGUUAAAACUCAAAUGAAUUGACGGGGGCCCGCACAAGCGGUGGAGCAUGUGGUUUAAUUCGAUGCAACGCGAAGAACCUUACCUACUCUUGACAUCCAGAGAACUUUCCAGAGAUGGAUUGGUGCCUUCGGGAACUCUGAGACAGGUGCUGCAUGGCUGUCGUCAGCUCGUGUUGUGAAAUGUUGGGUUAAGUCCCGCAACGAGCGCAACCCUUAUCCUUUGUUGCCAGCGGUUAGGCCGGGAACUCAAAGGAGACUGCCAGUGAUAAACUGGAGGAAGGUGGGGAUGACGUCAAGUCAUCAUGGCCCUUACGAGUAGGGCUACACACGUGCUACAAUGGCGCAUACAAAGAGAAGCGACCUCGCGAGAGCAAGCGGACCUCAUAAAGUGCGUCGUAGUCCGGAUUGGAGUCUGCAACUCGACUCCAUGAAGUCGGAAUCGCUAGUAAUCGUAGAUCAGAAUGCUACGGUGAAUACGUUCCCGGGCCUUGUACACACCGCCCGUCACACCAUGGGAGUGGGUUGCAAAAGAAGUAGGUAGCUUAACCUUCGGGAGGGCGCUUACCACUUU